UACUAUAGCUAUGGUGUAGCUUCCAUCCAAAUGAGUCGCUGUUUGUCUAUUUGUAAAUUACUUUUUGGACAGGUCCGGUGCCCGGUGUGUUCCAGAUAUUAACCUUUGGGGAACGCUGGACCGAGACGCCUCAGAUGCAAGAAGGGCUGGGAAUGCUAUGGCAGAUGCGACGGUAGAUGGGCAGCGGUGCAUGAGCAGCCCACCUCUGGCCAGGUCAGAGGACCCACUCGCCUACUGGCUAAAUCACAGACAUCGUUACACCAACCUUUUCAAGCGGGCCAAAAGAUUUCUAUGCAUGCCAGCAUCUACUGUACCCUGCAGAAGAAUAUUCUCCAAAUGUGGAGAAAUUGUGAGCAAAAAAGAAACUGGUUAAAUCCCAAUACUGUGGAAAAAAUAACGUACCUCAAUAAAAACGUUGAGUCCACAGUUACACAAGAAUACCCAAGCUAUGGCAUAUUUUACCAGCAUUUUCUCCUUAACAAAACAAAGCUCACGUGUGCGCCUCCCGGUCACCAAUCGCGGCUCCAACCCUGCAGUGCAGGGCUCGCGGGUCGCCAGGAGAGGGCGCUAGAACUGCAACUUCAGCCACAGUGGCAUUUCCCCAGCCUGUUCCUGGAGCGCACACACAGGCUGGGAGGGGCUGCUUCCUGCUUCACUCCCAUCGUGUGA
rnacentral:lncRNA from 1 species